UUUCACUGGAGCAGUCGGGGCUCCAAACAUUCCUUUCUGCCCUGAAGGGUUUUCCUCAUUGUUGUUGUCUUUGUGCUCCAGUGUUGCCAACUUACUGGAAUUCCUGACGUGGUUGCACAGCGGGCCCGGGCUGACCGUACAGCCAGCUGCGUUUGUGUCUGGGGCCGACCCCGCCGCUAAUCCCAGAAUAGUGCAGAAGGAGAAGGCGCGGAGAGGAGGGGCGCGGAGCAUCCCGCCUCGCUCGCACUUUUCUACCCCCUCCCCCGCAAAAGUAAUUCCAAAUUCGUGGCGGUUGUAAACAGCCUGGCCCAUGCCCGCGUUUAUCUCUGGCUUCUAUACCUGAGAAUGCUUGUGGAAAGACCGGGAGGACCGAGCCUGUGGGUCGGCAUCCGGGGAAGCACAGGCGGAUUCACUUUUAACUUAAGCCAGCAUCAUUUUUCUCCAGUACAAAGGAAACAUCUCUUGGCGGAGGGAGUCAAUGCUACACAGGUUAUGUAAACAGCGGAAACCGCCAGAAUGUUCAGUACCAGUGCUGCUGCCAACUUGCAUGAAGUUCACUUGUCGUAUUUCAAAAUGGCUUGAACUCGAACAUAUAUACCAUGGCACAGAACUUUUAACUUCAUGGUUAAAUCAGGAAGGACUUCCAAAGUCAACGUGACUUCCAAGCAGAGAUAGUGAAUGCAGACACCUGACCAAGCCCUACGAGAAGUUGUAUUCUAUUUGGACUGAAGCUAAAGCUGUCACCAUGACCCUUCUGGAAGAAUUAUAUCAAAGAAGUGGUUUAAAAAUCUGACUCCCAGAUUAAGGGGGACCAUCUUGGAUUACUCGAUUACUGUUUUUUGGUUUUUGGGGGGUUUUCUUUGAUUACUGUUAAUCCAAUACCAAAGACAGCAUUUCAAUGAAGGUCUAAAAUGUGCAUAUGCAACUCCCUGUCAAAAUGUCAAGCCACUGGGCAUGGUGGUGCACGCCUGUAAUCCCAGCUCUCGGGAGGCUGAGGCAGGAGGAUUGUUGCGAGUUUGAGACCAGCUUGGGCUACAAAGUGAGCUCAAGGCCAGCCUGAACUGCAUAGCGAGACCCUGUCUCAAAGAGACAAAAAAAAAAAAAAAAUUUUCAGUAAGUGUUCUGUACAAAAGUUCCUACAAGUCAUUAGAGGGUUUCUUCAUUCAUGAAACUUUUUAUCCAAAUAAAAUCUGAUUAAAGAAAAGAAACUUUGUGUCCAAUAAAUAAUCUCUGAUGCCCUUCACAUCACCCCUCCCAGGAACCUG
rnacentral:lncRNA from 1 species